AACGCAAAUUGCGCUCGAGGCUUCGGCCAAGAGCAUGUCUGCCUCAGCGUCGGCUUACUACCCUCAACCGAUUUCCCAUUGGGUAAUUGAUUGGAGCUGGCUGUCCGGUUGUGCCGAUAAGGCUGCCGGUCAGCUGAAAAACAUUCGCACUGUGAGAGCUGCUUUCCCUUCAAAAGGAAAGCCGAGUUCCGAUUUGGUAGGUGACCUUUGCCGGUUGCAUGCCUUCGUUGCUCGUCUAGCUGUCAUGAAAGCGCGUGCAGGACGCCUUUUGGCUUUCGACCUGAGGUCAGGCAAGAACACCCGCUGAACUUAA
rnacentral:misc_RNA from 1 species